rnacentral:lncRNA from 1 species
GGGCCAUACCUGUGACUUAUGGAAGUUCCUGGGCUAGGGGGUCAAAUCAGAGUUGCACCUGACAGCUUAAGCCACAGUCACACAGGAUCAGAGCUGAGUCUGCCACCUCCACCACAGCUCAUUGCAACACUGGAUCCUUAACCCACUGAGCGAGGCCAGGGAUCAAACUUGCAUCCUCAUGGUUACUAGUCGGGCUUGUUACUGCUGAGCCACAAUGGGAACUCCAUGGUUGCAGACUUAAAGAGCUAAUAAAGGCCUAGAAGCAGUGGACUCUUCUCAAGCAACAACUUAUUUCCACGUGCAUGUAUAUGCUGUGUUAGGUUGGGUUCCACAGGAGCAGAGCUUGAGAUAGGAAAUCUUGUUCAAGUAAUUUAUUUGGAAGAGUGCUCUUAGGAGAAGGGUCAUGAAGGGCAUGGAAGAGAUGGAGCAGAGGAACAGAAGCUAAGCAAUAAUAUGGCCUUUGGCUGGAGAUCAGCUUCUACCUGAUUCUACCAGGAAGCCCUGGCUCCUAAAGUGCAUCAGAGAAUUAAUCCCACACGGAGGCAAGGAAGCCAGUGUUUGGCAUCUAACACUGGUAAGUUAUGGCUGAGGCUACUUCCCUCCAGGGGUGGAGGGAGAGCUGUAAGCCUCCUAGUGCAGCCACGGGCUCUCAUCCGGCCAAGAGCAAGUGUCUGAAGUAGGGGGCAGUUGUGAAUUUUUAGCAGCCCACACACAGCACCUGAACAUUGUCUUAGUGUAGGCUGCUAUAACAAAAGAAAUUUAUUUUUCACACUUCUUGGGGCUGGGACAUCUAAGAUCAAGUAGGUGAUGAAAGUCCUUUUCCUUAUAAACAGUCAUCUUCUCCUUGUACUGUCACAUGGCACUCUACCUCCAUGACUUAACAACCUCCCAUUAGCCACAGCUCCUAAUCUAUCUUAUUGGGAUUUAGGGGUUCAACCUAUUAAUUUGGGGGGAACAUAAACAUGUAGUUAAUAAUACCUAUAAGCAACUGACUGAAACAUGGCUAAUGAAGAACACUUUCAUAAAAUGAUUGCUAUUUUGGCAAUAAGGAAAAGUGCGAACCAAGAUCAUUUUCUAACCAUGCAAUAAAGGAGGAAAAAAGAAUGCUUCAAAUUUGUCAUUUAGGAAAAAAACAAUAUUUUGUUGACACUGUGAUAAUAUUUCAGAGUGGUAAUCAGUACUUUUGUUGCUCUCUAUUUAAGUUAUUUUAUAAAUCUGACAGUUCUAGUAUCCUCCAAAUAGGAUUCUAACUUCUUCUCUUAUUGCUACACAUGUGAAGGUUUAGUUAUUCACAAUUCUACCAUGAAAGUUGUUCUAAUCCACUGGAGCCAAACAUUAUAAAAAGGAAAGGCCAUUAAAUUUUAUGGCAUCCAGUAAGUAAUUUUUUCCUGUCUGAAAUAUAUAAUUAUUUUUUACCACUUUAAUUCACACUGAACAAAACAAAUAUAUGUAAGAGAUACAAUUAGCAACAAUCUGCAAAUGAGCUUUUUUAUUACACUUCCUUUGUUUCAGGCACUUGAAGGUUUUGGGCAAAAAUCUUUCAUCCUCUUCUGGGCUUUGAAGGCUAGGGUGUUAAAUGGGCUACUGUAUUCACUUAGUAAUGUAACUGAGCAUGAACUUAGAGAAUCUUCCAAAUCAAGGAUUUGAGCCAAUGAAGCUUACUUUGUAAUACCUCCAAGAUACAAGUAUAUGGUGGUCUCCAUGAGGACAAGGACUUCGUUCUGUUUUUUGCUUAUCUUCUACACUAGAAGAGUGCCUAGCACACAGUAAACACUCUUAAGUGUUUGUUCAAUGAAUGUGAAUGUGUUUAUUAAUGAUUUUUGACAUCAUCUUUUGUGUGUACAAUUCUUAAUCUUUCCUUGUUAAUAUUUCCUUUUCAUCUUUUUAUUUACCCAUGCCCUUAAGAUUCUGAGAAUUCUGUAGUGUGUU